UUUCAGAUGGGUGUGGUUCCUCGCUCGGGCAACUUUGCUCUCGGCAGUGAGUCAACUGGCAAACGGCCUUGCGUGACAUGUUAAACAUGUUAAACAUGUUAAACAAAUAUGGCUGAAGGACAACGAGAACUCCAGGUGGCAAUGGACACAUAGUUUGGACUAGUGCUUUCUAUUUAUUUGCCAGCCUUUGGCAGGUUGAGGGUCUCAGUGGCGGGACAGCUCCCUUGGAGAACACAGACUCAUCAAGAACAAUGGGCCUCCUGCAGCUGCUGAAAUCCCAGUUCUUGUGCCACCUGAUCAUCUGCUAUGUGUUCCUGGUCAGCGGCCUCAUCAUCAACCUAUUGCAGCUGUGUACUUUACCUCUGUGGCUGGUCAGUAAGCAGCAGGCCCGCAGGAUCAACAUCAGGCUGGCCUACUGCAUCAGUAGCCAGAUGGUAGCUGCCCUCGAGUGGUGGUCUGGGACAGAGUGUACGCUCUACACAGACCCAAAGAGUUAUCCACUGUAUGGAAAUGAGAAUGCAGUUGUGGUUCUCAAUCACAGUUUUGAGAUAGACUUCCUGUGUGGCUGGACCUUCUGUGAGAGAUUCGGAGUCCUUGGGAGUUCCAAAGUGUUAGCCAAGAAAGAGUUGGCUUAUGUACCAAUCAUUGGUUGGAUGUGGUACUUCCUGGAGAUAGUUUUCUGCAAGAGGAAAUGGGAGGAGGACCGAAGGACGGUGACACAGAGUCUUCAGAACCUGCGGGAUUACCCGGAGACCUACUGGUUCUUGCUUUACUGUGAAGGAACACGCUUCACACCAAAGAAGCACCAGAUCAGCAUGCAGGUGGCAGAGAGCAAAGGUCUGCCCAAACUGAAGUAUCAUCUUCUGCCCAGGACCAAAGGAUUCUGGGUAACUGUCCAAAACCUCAGGGGAACUGCUGCGGCUGUUUAUGAUUCCACACUAAACUUCAGAAACAAUGAGGUGCCAACCUUGCUUGGAAUUCUUAAUGGGAAGAAAUAUCACGCCGAUUUAUAUGUGAGGAGAAUCCCUCUAGAGCUGAUCCCAGAAGAUGAGGCAGAAUGCGCUGCUUGGCUCCACAAACUCUACCAGGAAAAGGAUAGCUUUCAGGAGCAUUACACACAGACAGGGCGUUUUCCUGGCCCCACAGUGACCCCUCCACGCCGACCCUGGGCCUUGAUCAACUGGCUGUUCUGGUCCUGCUUGGUCCUCUACCCUCUAGGCCUGCUACUUGCUGAGCUCAUCAGCUCUGGAUCGACGCUUACCAUCUUAACUUCUGUGGCUUUCUGCUCUGCAGGUUGGUUUCAUACACUGAAACCCAAGGUGAAGACACCCUGAAAUGGGUAUAACAGUUCCUCCCUCAGUUUAACCAGCUCCUUUUUGUUCAAACGUUCCAAAAAGCAGCAGAUCUGACAACUCAAAUCUUCACUGGGGGUUCGCUGGAUGAUUGGCCAGACUGAGAUUAACAGAGGAUCAAGCUAUGGGAAUAAGGAGGUUCCUCUAAACAGCAACUGA